GCAUAAGUAUUGGCGGAAUAGAUGAUUUUAGCUUCCCGCUUAGUGAUUUUCUAUCAUAGCGUUUAUCAAACGCUAUUACAAAAUAAUCAAAAUAAAAAUU
rnacentral:sRNA from 1 species